rnacentral:rRNA from 1 species
UACGGGGGGGGCAAGCGUUGUUCGGAAUUACUGGGCGUAAAGGGCUCGUAGGUGGCCAACUAAGUCAGACGUGAAAUCCCUCGGCUUAACCGGGGAACUGCGUCUGAUACUGGAUGGCUUGAAUCCGGGAGAGGGAUGGUGGAAUUCCAGGUGUAGCGGUGAAAUGCGUAGAUAUCGGAAGGAACACCAGUGGCGAAAGCGGCUUCCGUGGUCCAGCAC